rnacentral:rRNA from 1 species
GUGAGGAAUUUUCCGCAAUGGGCGAAAGCCUGACGGAGCAAUGCCGCGUGAAGGAUGAAGGCCUAUGGGUUGUAAACUUCUUUUCUCAGAAAAGAAUUAUGACGGUAUCUGAGGAAUAAGCAUCGGCUAACUCUGUGCCAGCAGCCGCGGUAAGACAGAGGAUGCAAGCGUUAUCCGGAAUGAUUGGGCGUAAAGCGUCUGUAGGUUGUUUAAAAAGUAUUCUGUCAAAGAUUAGGGCUUAACCCUAGAUAGGAAGAAUAAACUUUUAAGCUAGAGGUUGGUAGAGGCAGAGGGAAUUCCCGGUGGAGCGGUGAAAUGCGUAGAUAUCGGGAGGAACACCAAAGGCGAAGGCACUCUGCUGGGCCAAUACUAACACUGAGAGACGAAAGCGAGGGGAGCAAAUGGGAUUAGAUACCCCUGUAGUCC